GUGUUAACUUCGGCAGCAGAUAUGCUAAAAUUAAAUCAAUACAGAGAUUAUCAUAAUCAUGGUCUCUAUGCAAGAAUGAUAUGCAAAUUUAUAAAGCUUUCCAUACUUUU
ensembl:snRNA U6 U6 spliceosomal RNA